rnacentral:tRNA from 1 species
GUCAGGAUGGCCGAGCGGUCUAAGGCGCUGCGUUCAGGUCGAAGUUCAAUCUUGUGGGAGUGGGUUCGAAUCCCACUUCUGACA